rnacentral:rRNA from 1 species
CGGAGGGUGCGAGCGUUGUCCGGAAUCAUUGGGCGUAAAGGGCGCGUAGGUGGCCCGGUCAGUCUUUGGUGAAAGCGCGGGGCUCAACCCUGCGUCGGCCAGGGAUACUGCCGCGGCUCGAGCACUGUAGAGGCAGGCGGAAUUCCGGGUGUAGCGGUGGAAUGCGUAGAGAUCCGGAAGAACACCGGUGGCGAAGGCGGCCUGCUGGGCAGUUUGGCUGACACUGAGGCGCGACAGCGUGGGGAGCAAACAGGAUUAGAUACCCUGGUAGUCCACGCCGUAAACGAUGGGCACUAGGCGCUUGGGGGAGCGACCCCCCGAGGGCCGGCGCUAACGCAUUAAGUACCCCCGCCUGGGGAGUACGGCCGCAAGGCUG